UGGGGAAUUUUGCGCAAUGGACGAAAGUCUGACGCAGCAACGCCGCGUGGGUGAUGAAGGUCUUCGGAUCGUAAAACCCUGUCGUUGGGGACGAAGGUGGGCUCGUUAAUAGCGAGUUUGCUUGACGGUACCCGGAGAGGAAGCCCCGGCUAACUCUGUGCCAGCAGCCGCGGUAAUACAGAGGGGGCAAGCGUUAUUCGGAAUUAUUGGGCGUAAAGGGCGCGUAGGCGGUUUUUUAAGUCAGAUGUGUAAUCCCCGAGCUCAACUUGGGAACUGCAUCUGAGACUGGAAGGCUAGAGUACUGGAGAGGGUGGUGGAAUUCCUCGUGUAGCGGUGAAAUGCGUAGAGAUGAGGAGGAACACCAGUGGCGAAGGCGGCCACCUGGACAGUAACUGACGCUGAGGCGCGAAAGUGUGGGUAGCAAACAGG
rnacentral:rRNA from 1 species